CACAUACUUGGUCCCUACCCUCACCAAGCUUCCAAUCUAGGAUGAAAGAUAUACUGGACAAGUAAAUGGAAAUGUGGUGGACAAUUUUAAAGGAGCAAUGCAGAGGACUUGGAGAGCUUAGGAGAAUGUGAUCUAACUUUGCAUUUUAUUUCCAUUUUAGAGAAAGAAAAUAGGGUGAAUAUCAAUUGGAAAUGCAGCUGGCCUACCCAAGAUAUUUAUGGCAGGGGAGUGGUCAUAGUUUUAAUAUUCCAGAAUUUUCCAAAGACAGUGAGGAUAUAAAGGCUUUAAGACAAGGGACCCUCAAAAGAAGAACAGAACCCCAGUAUAUGAAAAUAGACUGGUGAAAAGAAAAAAUCCUCCUUUAGGCAGGAGAACAAAAGGUCAGCUCCUCAUUCUUUUCCAGCUCUUCUGACCAGUAGUGGCAUAGAGGAGUGCCAGGGAGUGGGAGUGGAAGAGCUAAAGCUCCCUCAUAAUGUCUACUAUAGCCCUCUUCAGGAUCUGUUAAUAGGAAACUGAGUCCGGUUACUCAAAAGCAAUUUCCAAGACAAGUUCUCUGGCACCGUUCCCUUUCUGCACCAUGUACUUUCAACUCCACUGCUUCCUUAGGACACUGCUCUUUGGAAAUUCUGGAUCACCCAAGCCUGCAGCAGAGAUAUGUGAUCAAAGUGGAGUGUUGGAUGAUUAGGCAAUGAACUCUCUAUCUGCUUGAAGAGGAUGAAGGGCAAAGAAGUACAGGACAGAAAAACCUUCAUACUUCAAAAUGUUAUCUUACUUAAAAUGGAUAUGAAUCAUUUCACAUACUCUAAAACCAAAAAUCAAAGAAGAAAAGAUGUAAGACUGAAAAAUCCAGAUGUCAUAACAGAUAGGUUUUGGAGUGUUUUUGUCAUGAAGAAGUGACUAACAUUGUCAAAAGCUUUUUGUGAAUCUACUGAGAUAAUCACGUGAAUUUUGCCCUUUAUUCCAUUGAAGGUAUUACAUUCAAUCUGAUAUGCUUUGGCUGUGUCCCCACCCAAAUCUCAUCUUGAAUUCCCAUGUAUUGUGGGAGGGACCUGGUAAGAGGUCAUUGAAUCAUAGGGGCAGUUCUUUCUUGUGCUGUUCUUGUAAUAGUGAAUAAGUCUCAUGAGAACUGAUGGUUUUAAAAAGGGAAGUUUCCCCACACAAGCUCUCUCUUUGCCUGCUGUCAUCCAUGUAAGACGUGACUUGUUCCUCCUUGCCUUCCACCACGACUGUGAGGCCUCCCUAGCCACUUGGAACUGUAAGUCCAUUAAACCUCUUUCUUUUGUAAAUUGCCCAGUCUCGGGUAUGUCUUUAUCAGCAGUGUGGAAACAGACUAAUACAUAAUCAAAUACAUUAAGUGUAUUACAUUGAUUCAUUUCUAUAUUUUGAACUACCACUGCAUUUCUGAAAUAAAUCCUCCCUUGGUCAUAGUUGCAACAGACUCUUCACUGAUCUGACUUCCUCCUAUCUUGAAUGCCAUCUAGCUAUCCUACUAUUAGUGGUAUCUUUGUAAAGUGAAAAUAUGAUCUAGUCACAUUCUUUGCUUAAACUUCCUUCAUUUCUCUUUAUUGCCUUUGAUAGAAAUCCCAAAGUCAGCAUGGCGUUGGCUACCCCUUGAUGUUACCUACCAGGAUCUCCAGCCUGAUGACCCACCACUUCCACCCUCUAAACACUAUGAACUACAUGUCAUUCUUAAUCUACACAACAUUUGUUUCCAUGUUCAUACCUCUGCACAUUUCCACCUAGAAUGGUUUUCGCCAUCUCUGUCCAGUGAACUCUUAGUGAUGUAUCAAACCUGGUUUUAGUUGUAUGCUCCUCCCAGAAGCUAUUUUUGAUAUUCACUCCCCCAAUAUGGAAUAAAUUCCUGUCCUAAGUACUUGUCAGUUCAUUUGAGUCAUAGUAUUUAUUGUGCCAAAUUAAGAUGAUUUUUUUUCUUUUUUGAGACAGAGUCUAACUCUGUUGCCCA
rnacentral:lncRNA from 1 species